GGUCUACAUCACUGCCCCUUCUGCAGAUACAAAGGGUCAAAAUGUGAUAUCGACCAUCACAUUAAAUGCCAUGCCUCGGUUAAAUACAGAGGUCUGCAGAGGAGCUUUCAGGAAGCAGGAAGAGAAGACGGGAGGAAAAAAAGCUACAGACAAAACUGAAGACCAGGAACUGGAACCUGGGAACCUGGUAUG